GCGUCAGGUGGCAGUAAAAUCAACCCGAGGCUUUGCUCUUAAAUCAACCCAUGGUAUUGCCAUUAAAUCAACCAACAUGGCUUCCGUGGACAAGGGGGAGAGUGCACCAGUUCGUAAGAACACACGCCAGUUCUAUGAUGGUGAAGAGUCUUGCUACAUCAUUGAUGCCAAACUUGAAGGCAACCUAGGCCGCUACCUCAAUGUGAGACUGAAGCACCUAUAGGUGGAGGGUUCUAUUUCUAACUUUUUAAAGAUGUUGUAUAAACCUACCUUUGCUUAUAAGGUGACCUCAAAGAGUAAAGUGGCUUUCUCUCAAAACAUCACUGCUAUAGUAUGUAAUGGGGUAGAGAUCAGAGUUUACAUAUCUGACGCCUCCCUGGUUGAAUGACUGUCAUCUUUAAACUUACAGCACAGUUGCAGCCCCAACCUGUUUGUCCAGAACGUUUUUGUGGAUACCCAUGAUCUUCGCUUCCCUUGGGUGGCCUUUUUUGCCAGCAAGAGAAUCCGGGCUGGAACAGAACUCACUUGGGAUUACAACUAUGAAGUGGGCAGUGUGGAAGGCAAGGAACUGCUGUGCUGCUGUGGAGCCAUUGAAUGCAGAGGGCGGCUUCUCUAGAGGAAGACUCUUCCUCACUCUGAGGAUCCCUUCCCCAGGAACUGGGUCUUUCUGACUCCACGUCUCUGAUCUGGCUUCUCCCCAGCUCCUAGUAGAUAAAAGUGGGGGUCCUAGAUCAGGACGUUGCCAGCGUGGUGCUAGCAGGCACUAGGGUGGGAUGACCACCCUAGCAUCAGCCUGAGGUCCUUCUCAUCCCGUAUGUGUUCAUGAUUCACAUGCGCCGUGUAUCUGGUUUGUAUGGUUUCUUGAAAGUCUUCUAACAAGAUGAUAAAAUAGAGCUUGUGGUUUGUCUUCUCUCCUCAGCCCCAUCUUGACCUUCCAGGGAGAUGUCAUUUCCCAAUGGCAACUAUCAUUAGUUUACCCCUUGAUUUUAUUUGCCUUGUGUAAUUUUUAACAGCAACAAAAGUUCCAUGACCAGGAGGGAAGCCUAAGAAAAAUAACCCUUCUCAAGUCUUAAUAGUCUGACACAGUCAUGUUUUAUUUAACCUUUAAUAUACUUUAAUUAAAAAAAAUUAACAGU
rnacentral:lncRNA from 1 species